UGGGGUAUCGUACAAUAGGUAGGACGCUGGUUUUUGGUGCCAGUAAUAGUUGGUUCGAGUCCACUUACCCCAG
rnacentral:tRNA from 1 species